rnacentral:rRNA from 1 species
CUUGGUCAUUUAGAGGAAGUAAAAGUCGUAACAAGGUUUCCGUAGGUGAACCUGCGGAAGGAUCAUUAAAUGUUAUAGCAACCCUCUGGCUGAAAAUGCCAGGGGGCACAACUAUACCACCCUUUGUUUAUUACACUUUUGUUGCUUUGGUAGGCCAGUCCCCGGACUGCUGGCUUCGGCCGGACAGCGCCUACCAGAGGACCUAAACUCUGUUUGUCUAUAAUGUCUGAGUACUAUAUAAUAGUUAAAACUUUCAACAACGGAUCUCUUGGUUCUGGCAUCGAUGAAGAACGCAGCGAAAUGCGAUAAGUAAUGUGAAUUGCAGAAUUCAGUGAAUCAUCGAAUCUUUGAACGCACAUUGCACCCCCUGGUAUUCCGGGGGGUAUGCCUGUUCGAGCGUCAUUAACAACCCUCAAGCUCUGCUUGGUAUUGGGCCCCGCCGACCCGGCGAGCCCUAAAAUCAGUGGCGGUGCCAUCUGGCUCCGAGCGUAGUAAUUCUUCUCGCUUUGGAGGCCGGGUGUGUGCUUGCCAGCAACCCCCAAUUUUUUUAAGUUUGACCUCGGAUCAGGUAGGGAUACCCGCUGAACUUAAGCAUAUCAAUAAGCGGAGGA